UUGUCAAGGUAACCAGAGCCUCCUUUUUCUUGGUAACUUGAACCUGCCAAACCAAACGAGACACCUCACACGCUAGCUAAUCAGCCACCUGCCACUGAGUGAGACAGCUCUCUGUGGAUUGGGUAGCCACAGGCCCGGCUUCUCCUCAUCUUCUCUGCCUUCCAACCUUCUCUGGUUGAGCCUGUAUUGAGAGAAAACACUCCAUUGUCGCUUUCACGAGGUGGCAAAGCUGGAUUAUGUCUUUAAGCUCUUAGGGAAAGAACACGACUAUUUAAGACGUUUGCCUGGGCUACGUGGCAAAUGCCAAUCUGUACACUUGCCCUCUGCCCUGAGAGGACUUUAUUUUUUUUUUAUUUAUUUUUUUAUUUUUUUUCCUGAGAGGACUUUAGAAAAAAAAAUGUGGGAAUACGUAUAUGGCUUUUUCCCAACUGCUGUUGAUGUUGACAUAAUGCAAGGCCAGGCCACGUGAAAGUUGAGACUCUGGUUUUGUGUUGCAUCUUGGGAAAAUUCAGGUCGAAACAAAGAAGAAUGUUCAUCAAGUGAACAUGUUUAUCCAGAGCCCCCAGCGCUCAGGGACUCUGCUGGCUCCUGCCUGGGACACAGGGCUGAAGACACCUUAGUCUCUACGCUCACCGUUUACGGAUGACUGGACGGCCUAAGACAAAAAACACAACCAUGAGUCAAGGGCUCCUCAUUGACCAAACCCAACUUGAAGCCAAAGGUCACGAGGGCCCAUGGUGUGGUCCAUACAAGUCCAGCUCCCAGGAGAAACCAGGGUGGAGAAGGGAAGAAAGUGGAUCUGGAGGCGACUGGCCGUGCAGGCUGUGAGUGUGAGGAGGCCACACCCAAGCCAAGUCCGGUUCCGACAGGAUGGUGGAAGAGGGGAGUUUCCUGUGGCGUGAACAGAAAUUCUCCAGAAGCUGGAUAAAUUGCCCUAGGUGUACAUUUGCCAACAAUACCAUUACUUAUUAAAGAAAACAUUUUCAC